UACGUAGGGGGCAAGCGUUGUCCGGAUUUAUUGGGCGUAAAGAGCGUGUAGGCGGCUUCACAGGUCUGCUGUGAAAACUCGAGGCUCAACCUCGAGCUGUCGGUGGAAACCGUGGGGCUAGAGUCCGGAAGAGGAGAGUGGAAUUCCCGGUGUAGCGGUGAAAUGCGCAGAUAUCGGGAAGAACACCCGUGGCGAAGGCGGCUCUCUGGGACGGUACUGACGCUGAGACGCGAAAGCGUGGGGGAGCAAACAGG
rnacentral:rRNA from 1 species